UUUCUCACAGAAAAGCCUGUUUAGCUUUUCUUCCUCUUCGCUGAUACUGGACAGCAGACCAGCCGAGGUUGUUAAAGCUCAGUCUCACACAGUUUUCAGUCCAAAUGCCCAACAGGAGACUGGCAGUUGUCCCCUGGAGGUGAUGGAGGUCUUUUUUUGUCUUCUUGAUCCUCCAGAUCUUCUCGAUCAUUUUCAUUGGCUGGUUUUGUAGGAGGGACAUCAUCUGGUCCAGGGGAGGACAGGUUUGAGGAGUUGAGGUCAGAGGUCAGAUGCACCGCGCGAGGCUCAGACAGAGGAAAAGAGAAAAAGCUAAUAGAAAUCGAUUA